GAAACUCAAAGGAAUUGACGGGGGCCCGCACAAGCGGUGGAGCAUGUGGUUUAAUUCGAUGAUACGCGAGGAACCUUACCUGGGCUCAAAUGUAUGUUGACGUAUUCUGAAAGGGAUACUUCUUCGGACAAUAUACAAGGUGCUGCAUGGUUGUCGUCAGCUCGUGCCGUGAGGUGUCGGGUUAAGUCCCAUAACGAGCGCAACCCCUAUCAUUAGUUGCCAUCAGGUCAAGCUGGGGACUCUAAUGAAACUGCCUACGCAAGUAGUGAGGAAGGUGGGGAUGACGUCAAAUCAGCACGGCCCUUACGUCCAGGGCUACACACGUGCUACAAUGGCCGGUACAAAGGGCAGCUACCUGGUGACAGGAUGCAAAUCUCCAAAGUCGGUCUCAGUUCGGAUCGGAGUCUGCAACCCGACUCCGUGAAGUUGGAUUCGCUAGUAAUCGCGCAUCAGCCAUGGCGCGGUGAAUACGUUCCCGGGCCUU
rnacentral:rRNA from 1 species